rnacentral:rRNA from 1 species
GAUGAACGCUGGCGGCGUGCCUAAUACAUGCAAGUCGAGCGAACAGACGAGGAGCUUGCUCCUCUGACGUUAGCGGCGGACGGGUGAGUAACACGUGGAUAACCUACCUAUAAGACUGGGAUAACUUCGGGAAACCGGAGCUAAUACCGGAUAAUAUAUUGAACCGCAUGGUUCAAUAGUGAAAGACGGUUUUGCUGUCACUUAUAGAUGGAUCCGCGCCGCAUUAGCUAGUUGGUAAGGUAACGGCUUACCAAGGCGACGAUGCGUAGCCGACCUGAGAGGGUGAUCGGCCACACUGGAACUGAGACACGGUCCAGACUCCUACGGGAGGCAGCAGUAGGGAAUCUUCCGCAAAGGGCGAAAGCCUGACGGAGCAACGCCGCGUGAGUGAUGAAGGUCUUCGGAUCGUAAAACUCUGUUAUUAGGGAAGAACAAAUGUGUAAGUAACUAUACACGUCUUGACGGUACCUAAUCAGAAAGCCACGGCUAACUACGUG